rnacentral:lncRNA from 1 species
GAUGAUAUACCCUGAGUUAGAGAUUUUCAGGUUAACAGUUAUUCUGUUGUUAUAAACCAGGUUCUCAGCCUGAAAUUAAUGGGAGCAAACUGGUUUCUUCUGAGCAUGAUGUCACCUCUCAGACAUCCUGGAUUAUUUUAGGUAUCAUAACUGGCACUAUUGUACUUCUCAUAGUUAUUGGGCUGGUUGUGUGGAAAAUGGGGGCCUUCACACAGUGUCGCAGGAAUCAUCAGGAAGGGCAGGAGCAAGAGGUCAAAAUAGAAAUGGACCAGGACCAGAGCCUGGACCAAGAAGAUGAGGCUGAGUCCAUGUGAGGUUUGACCCAUGUCUCCGUGUGUCUAGUUAGUCUUGCUCUACUGUGCU